CUCCUUUUGAAGGUUAGCGGCGGACGGGUGAGUAACACGUGGGUAACCUACCUAUAAGACUGGGAUAACUUCGGGAAACCGGAGCUAAUACCGGAUAACAUUUAGAACCGCAUGGUUCUAAAGUGAAAGAUGGUUUUGCUAUCACUUAUAGAUGGACCCGCGCCGUAUUAGCUAGUUGGUAAGGUAACGGCUUACCAAGGCGACGAUACGUAGCCGACCUGAGAGGGUGAUCGGCCACACUGGAACUGAGACACGGUCCAGACUCCUACGGAAGGCAGCAG
rnacentral:rRNA from 1 species